AUUGAACGCUGGCGACAUGCCUUACACAUGCCAGUCGAACGGCAGCACGGGUGCUUGCACCUGGUGGCGAGUGGCGAACGGGUGAGUAAUACAUCGGAACAUGUCCUGUAGUGGGGGAUAGCCCGGCGAAAGCCGGAUUAAUACCGCAUACGAUCUACGGAUGAAAGCGGGGGACCUUCGGGCCUCGCGCUAUAGGGUUGGCCGAUGGCUGAUUAGCUAGUUGGUGGGGUAAAGGCCUACCAAGGCGACGAUCAGUAGCUGGUCUGAGAGGACGACCAGUCACACUGGGACUGAGACACGGCCCAGACUCCUACGGGAGGCAGCAGUGGGGAAUUUUGGACAAUGGGCGAAAGCCUGAUCCAGCAAUGCCGCGUGUGUGAAGAAGGCCUUCGGGUUGUAAAGCACUUUUGUCCGGAAAGAAAUCCUUGGCCCUAAUACGGUCGGGGGAUGACGGUACCGGAAGAAUAAGCACCGGCUAACUACGUG
rnacentral:rRNA from 1 species